rnacentral:rRNA from 1 species
UACGUAGGGUGCGAGCGUUGUCCGGAAUUAUUGGGCGUAAAGAGCUCGUAGGCGGCUUGUCGCGUCGGAUGUGAAAGCCCGGGGCUUAACUCCGGGUCUGCAUUCGAUACGGGCAGGCUAGAGUUCGGUAGGGGAGAUCGGAAUUCCUGGUGUAGCGGUGAAAUGCGCAGAUAUCAGGAGGAACACCGGUGGCGAAGGCGGAUCUCUGGGCCGAUACUGACGCUGAGACGCGAAAGCGUGGGGAGCGAACAGG